CAAAAGUAGACUCGUAUAUCACUUUUCAACCUUGGAAGUUUGCCGAAGCUUGAAUGGUUAUGGAAGAGCAAAGCGAAAGGAGGUGGAGUGGGAAUGUGAAUUCAGUGUUCUAUGCAGAAACAUACCAUCCAAUUCAAGCUGGAAGCAUCGAUGGCACUGAUAUUCUUCCUCAUGAUAACGCUGUUUACAGAGCUCUUCUUUGUUCUAAUGCCGGCUUGUAUGACCCUUUUGGUGAUCCAAAGGCUAUUGGUGAUCCUUAUUGUACUCUCUUUGUAGGCCAUUUGUCUCAUUUCACCAAUGAACACACUCUUCGACAGGAAAUGAGCAAGUAUGGAAGGGUGAAGAACUUAAGAAUUGUCAGACACAUUGUAACGGGAGCUUCACGCGGUUAUGCAUUUGUUGAAUUUGAAACAGAUAGGGACAUGCGACGAGCAUACAAGGAUGCUCACCAUAAGAUUAUUGAUGGUUCUGAAAUAAUAGUCGACUACAACAGACAAAGGUUAAUGGCAGGAUGGAUUCCAAGAAGGUUAGGUGGUGGUCUUGGUGGUAAGAAGGAAUCAGGGCAGCUACGUUUUGGAGGUCGUGAAAGACCAUUUCGCGCUCCACUACGACCAAUACCAUGGGAUGAUUUAAAGAGGCUUGGUAUACCACGUCCUCCUGAGGGAAGAUACAUGUCACGAUUUCAGGAUCCAUCACCACCUAGGCGGGAAAGGAGCUUGGAGGACGCUAGAGACUCUUCUCGCAAGCAUGAUAAAAGAAGCAAGCAUUCUCAUCGAGAGGAGAGGUCUAUAAGUCGGGAGCGCUCAUCUGGAAGACGGGAGAGGUCCAUGGACAAGGAAGAUUUCUCUCAUAGGCAGAGAACACAUAGAAGGAAGCGAGGUGAUCGAAGGUCUCCCAGCCAUGAUCAUUCAUCCGAUAGGAGUUCAAUGGACAGAAGCAGACAUUCUCACAAGCGCCAAAAGCAUAGCAGAGACAGGCAUGACAUGAGAUCCCUCAGUCUUGACCAUUCAUCUGAUGAAACUUCAACGUACAAAGAAGAACGUGGUAGAGCACAUAAUGCAUGGUCUCAUGGAGAUGACCGGUGGUCGCCAAGCACGGAUGAUCAUUCACAGGUGACAUACUAAACACCAAUAUCGCGGUGAUGGUUGGCAGUCCCUUAGCAGACUUCACACCAAGACACAACAACACAAUCAUCAGCGGCCGGCCUCUCAGUAGGAACACUUCAAUGUAGGAAAAAUUUGACAGAAUUCCUUUCAGGAGUUGCAACUAUCCAUUACAAAACCCAAACAUUCACCCUUACAAUUAAGGCUGAAAGACACUAUCUAUCCAUCCACAACUGAAGCUCCUUCGAUCCGAACUAUAUAUGUGUGUGUGUGUGUGAAUCAGCUCAGAUUCACGUAUGCUGUGGCCCAAUGAGAAGGUAAACCAAAGAAGUUUUUCAUGCUUGUAUCUAAGACACAUAGUUAAGGCUCGACUGAAGCUCCUUCGAUUCGGACUAUAUAUAUAUAUAUAUAUGAAAAAAACUAAAAACUGACAGGAAACUCACCUAUAAGCAUUCCAAUCAUAUUGAUAACAGCAUGAAGAAAAGAGGUGUUGGAUUUCACAUUAUUUUGGUUUUCAACAUAAACCAAACUCUCCAAAUCCUUAUGUGAGUUGCUUUCACUUAUCACUUGAUUAUGAGGACACAAUGAUUUUCCAUUAGACUUACAAUAACUCUUGUUACACAUAGUAUAUAACUAUAUUUUAUAUGUAUGCAGUUCCUGAAAAUAAUGAGUAAUUUGCAAAGAAAUUAGUAGGUCAUAUUUAUAGCUUAAGAAUUAUUGUACAUUUUAAUUAACUCCUAUUUGUGAGAAUCUACUUUUUUUCCCCA